UAGUUUGAUACACAGCACAAUA
rnacentral:miRNA from 2 species